UGGGGAAUAUUGGACAAUGGGGGGAACCCUGAUCCAGCAAUGCCGCGUGUGUGAAGAAGGCCUGAGGGUUGUAAAGCACUUUCAGAGGGGAGGAGGACUAUUAGGUUAAGAGCUAGAUAGUUGGACGUUACCCUCAGAAGCAGCACCGGCUAACUCCGUGCCAGCAGCCGCGGUAAUACGGGGGGUGCAAGCGUUAAUCGGAAUUAUUGGGCGUAAAGGGUGCGUAGGUUGUUUGAUAAGAUAUAUGUGAAAUACCUGGGCUCAACCUGGGAAGGUCAUAUAAGACUGUCAGACUCGAGUAUGGGAGAGGGUAGAGGAAUUUCCGGUGUAGCGGUGAAAUGCGUAGAUAUCGGAG
rnacentral:rRNA from 1 species